CGUAGGAGGCGAGCGUUGUCCGGAUUCAUUGGGCGUAAAGAGCGCGCAGGCGGCUUGGUAAGUCGGAUGUGAAAACCCGAGGCUCAACCUCGGGCGUGCAUCCGAUACUGCUCGGCUAGAGGUAGGUAGGGGAGAUCGGAAUUCCUGGUGUAGCGGUGAAAUGCGCAGAUAUCAGGAGGAACACCGGUGGCGAAGGCGGAUCUCUGGGCCUUACCUGACGCUCAGGCGCGAAAGCUAGGGGAGCGAACUGGAUUAGAUACCCAGGUAGUCCUAGCUGUAAACGUUGGGUGCUAGGUGUGGGCGGAUAUCGACCCCGUCCGUGCCGAAGCUAACGCAUUAAGCACCCCGCCUGGGGAGUACGGCCGCAAGGCUA
rnacentral:rRNA from 1 species